UGGGGAAUAUUGCACAAUGGGCGCAAGCCUGAUGCAGCCAUGCCGCGUGUAUGGAGAAGGCCUUCGGGUUGUAAAGUACUUUCAGCGGGGAGGAAGGGAGUAAAGUUAAUACCUUUGCUCAUUGACGUUACCCGCAGAAGAAGCACCGGCUAACUCCGUGCCAGCAGCCGCGGUAAUACGGAGGGUGCAAGCGUUAAUCGGAAUUACUGGGCGUAAAGCGCACGCAGGCGGUUUGUUAAGUCAGAUGUGAAAUCCCCGGGCUCAACCUGGGAACUGCAUCUGAUACUGGCAAGCUUGAGUCUCGUAGAGGGGGGUAGAAUUCCAGGUGUAGCGGUGAAAUGCGUAGAGAUCUGGAGGAAUACCGGUGGCGAAGGCGGCCCCCUGGACGAAGACUGACGCUCAGGUGCGAAAGCGUGGGGAGCAAACA
rnacentral:rRNA from 1 species